UACGAAGGGGGGCUAGCGUUGCUCGGAAUCACUGGGCGUAAAGCGCACGUAGGUGGAUCGCUAAGUCAGGGGUGAAAUCCUGGAGCUCAACUCCAGAACUGCCUUUGAUACUGGCAAUCUCGAGUCCGGGAGAGGUGAGUGGAACUGCGAGUGUAGAGGUGAAAUUCGUAGAUAUUCGCAAGAACACCAGUGGCGAAGGCGGCCCGCUGGACAUGUAUUGACGCUGAGGUGCGAAAGCGUGGGGAGCAAACAGGG
rnacentral:rRNA from 1 species